UGGGGAAUAUUGGGCAAUGGACGCAAGCCUGACCCAGCAACGCCGCGUGAAGGAAGAAGGCUUUCGGGUUGUAAACUUCUUUUAACAGGGAAGAGUAGAAGACGGUACCUGUUGAAUAAGCCACGGCUAACUACGUGCCAGCAGCCGCGGUAAUACGUAGGUGGCAAGCGUUAUCCGGAUUUAUUGGGUUUAAAGGGUGCGUAGGUGGUCUUUUAAGUCAGCGGUGAAAGUUUGUGGCUCAACCAUAAAAUUGCCGUUGAAACUGGAAGACUUGAGUAUAUUUGAGGUAAGCGGAAUGCGUAGUGUAGCGGUGAAGUGCUUAGAUAUCACGAAGAACUCCAAUUGCGAAGGCAGCUUGCUGGACUGUAACUGACGCUGAUGCUCGAAAGUGUGGGUAUCAAACA
rnacentral:rRNA from 1 species